CACCUCUCGCGCGACGUCACGCGGCCGGGCCGGGCGGUGGCGGCGCGCGGGGAUGGAGCGGCCGCCGCUCGGCCGGUCUUUCUCCUCUACAAAGAAGCUUUGUUGCCAAGACUUACUCUGAAAAUGACCUAGAGUACCUACUGCAGAUGCCUGCAAGUGUAGAAGCUGAUAAAUCAUAUCUUCUUCCCUCCCCUGACUUUCCUGUUUCCUCUGGAAUUUAUACGUCUAAAUUUUUUUAAAGUUAAACGUCUGUUGAUGGCAUUUGAAUUACAACUGUGAGCAUACUUAUGCAAAGAGACAAGCUAUCCUGAGCACUUUUGAGUUCUCUUCAGUGGAGGGACUGCUGUGGGUCAGCCAUGCUAAAGGGCGUAUGAUGGAGGCAAGUACAAGUUUAUCCUUUCACUAUUGUCUAAUGUUGAUUUUGCCAGUUUUUCCUUUUGAACUGUUUUGUUUCCCAGGGCUUCUGGGAAAUAAUUGCACAAAUGAAGGGCUGUAUUAGAAUGUUCUGGGAUAUAAUAAUGUUGUAACGUCUGCUGAGUUGGCUGUAUAUGUAAUUGUGAAUUUUGUUCCUGAUGUAGUGUAUUCUUGUACAAAUAAGAAAUGUAUGUUUUUGAACUUUAUGGUAUAAAGUAUUGUUUCCUCCCACUAACAGAAUAUAAAAGUGGUUGUAAGUAGAGAAAACAAAAGUGGCCACAAAAGUUGAAUCCUUAUGAAAUAAGUGUGCUAAUCAAUUUUGAAGAUUCACAAUUCUUCACACUUAGAGUAUUUUUUUUCCUCAGAAGUAGAUACUAGAACAAAUAAAUACUGGUAAGGACCUUCAU